rnacentral:rRNA from 1 species
UACGGGGGGGAGCAAGCGUUGUUCGGAUUUACUGGGCGUAAAGGGCGCGUAGGCGGUCAGUGCAAGUCAGUUGUGAAAUCUCCGAGCUUAACUCGGAAAGGUCAACUGAUACUGCUCGACUAGAGUGCGGAAGGGGCAACUGGAAUUCUUGGUGUAGCGGUGAAAUGCGUAGAUAUCAAGAGGAACACCUGCGGCGAAGGCGGGUUGCUGGGGCCGACCCCUGACGCUGAGGCGCGAAGGGCGUGGGGGAGCGAACGGG